rnacentral:rRNA from 1 species
UUGCAUUGGACUUUGAACCGAUCUGUGUAGGAUAGGUGGGAGGCUAUGAAACCGGAACGCUAGUUUCGGUGGAGCCGUCCUUGAAAUACCACCCUGGUUUGUUUGAGGUUCUAACCUUGGCCCGUGAUCCGGGUCGGGGACAGUGCAUGGUAGGCAGUUUGACUGGGGCGGUCUCCUCCCAAAGCGUAACGGAGGAGUACGAAGGUACGCUAGGUACGGUCGGAAAUCGUGCUGAUAGUGCAAUGGCAUAAGCGUGCUUAACUGCGAGACCGACAAGUCGAGCAGGUGCGAAAGCAGGUCAUAGUGAUCCGGUGGUUCUGUAUGGAAGGGCCAUCGCUCAACGGAUAAAAGGUACUCUGGGGAUAACAGGCUGAUACCGCCCAAGAGUUCAUAUCGACGGCGGUGUUUGGCACCUCGAUGUCGGCUCAUCUCAUCCUGGGGCUGUAGCCGGUCCCAAGGGUAUGGCUGUUCGCCAUUUAAAGAGGUACGUGAGCUGGGUUUAAAACGUCGUGAGACAGUUUGGUCCCUAUCUGCCGUGGGCGUUGGAUAUUUGAAGGGGGCUGCUCCUAGUACGAGAGGACCGGAGUGGACGAACCUCUGGUGUACCGGUUGUCACGCCAGUGGCAUCGCCGGGUAGCUAUGUUCGGAAGAGAUAACCGCUGAAAGCAUCUAAGCGGGAAACUCGCCUUAAGAUGAGAUAUCCCUGGGGACUAGAUCCCCUUGAAGGGUCGUUCGAGACCAGGACGUUGAUAGGUCAGGUGUGUAAGCGCAGUAAUGCGUUCAGCUAACUGAUACUAAUUGCCCGUAAGGCUUGAUCCUAUAACA